GACUCUCGACAACGGAUAUCUCGUCUCUCGCAUCGAUGAAGAAUGUAGCAAAAUGCGAUACCUGGUGUGAAUUGCAGAAUCCCGCGAACCAUCGAGUCUUUGAACGCAAGUUGCGCUCGAGGCCACUCACCGAGGGCACACCUGCCUGAGCGUCA
rfam:Triticum aestivum genome assembly, contig: Triticum_aestivum_CS42_TGACv1_scaffold_514372_6BS